rnacentral:rRNA from 1 species
AAUAGAUACCCAGGUAGUCCAUGCCGUAAACGUUGGGCACUAGGUGUGGGGGACAUUCCACGUUUUCCGCGCCGUAGCUAACGCAUUAAGUGCCCCGCCUGGGGAGUACGGCCGCAAGGCUAAAACUCAAAGGAAUUGACGGGGGCCCGCACAAGCGGCGGAGCAUGCGGAUUAAUUCGAUGCAACGCGAAGAACCUUACCAAGGCUUGACAUGGACCGGAUCGCCGCAGAAAUGUGGUUUCUCCUUUUGGGGCCGGUUCACAGGUGGUGCAUGGUUGUCGUCAGCUCGUGUCGUGAGAUGUUGGGUUAAGUCCCGCAACGAGCGCAACCCUCGUUCCAUGUUGCCAGCGCGUAAUGGCGGGGACUCAUGGGAGACUGCCGGGGUCAACUCGGAGGAAGGUGGGGACGACGUCAAAUCAUCAUGCCCCUUAUGUCUUGGGCUUCACGCAUGCUACAAUGGCCGGUACAAAGGGUUGCGAUACUGUGAGGUGGAGCUAAUCCCGAAAAAGCCGGUCUCAGUUCGGAUUGGGGUCUGCAACUCGACCCC